CAGGGAAGGCUCUAUAAAAAAUAAUGAUAGCAGCUAAACGCUCAAGGGUCCAGUUUGGAGCUGCAAUUCCAGAUUUUACUUUUUUCCCCCCCUCACUCUUGAGGUUUGGCUCACUGCUAUUUCCCCUCUCCUAAGGUCCUGUUGACACAUGAGUGUUAUGAAGGCUUCCGGAGGGUGGAAUGAAGGGCCGUCAUGUCACAAAGGAAGGCUAAUUGGCUGGAACUCCCUCCUCUGCCCCCUCCAGCUGGCCUGAAUCUUUUUGGUUUUUAGUUAUUCCUAAAGGGUCUUGGCAUUGGUGGCCUGCCUCUCUUUUCAAAAUAAUUAAAACCAAAGAAAUUCAAAUGAGAGCCUUUCUCAUUGUCGGUGCCGUUUUGCCUUUGUGAGGUUGGCGGAAGCAGUGUUCUGUUGGCGGAAGCAGUGUUCUGUUGGGAUAUUGGGGCUCCCUGGCUGGACCUGAACCAGUUAACUCCUCCUGCAGACUAUGUCCAGGUUGUGACAUCCCCUAAGCAGGAACGGCAAAUUCUGAGCAGAUGGCUCCUCCUGGAACUAUGCCUCAACAUCUCUCCUGAUACUUGGAUACUUUUCCUCUGACUGGUGAGACCUCCAUCUCUGAUUCCAUCUGCAGUCAUUUGGGUGCAGUUCAGCC
rnacentral:lncRNA from 1 species